GAUGAACGCUGGCGGCGUGCUUAACACAUGCAAGUCGAACGAAGCAUUUGCGACAGAUUUUUUCGGAAUGAAGUUGCUUAUGACUGAGUGGCGGACGGGUGAGUAACGCGUGGGUAACCUGCCUUGUACUUGGGGAUAGCAGCUGGAAACGGCUGGUAAUACCGCAUAAGCGCACAAUGUUGCAUGACAUGGUGUGAAAAACUCCGGUGGUAUAAGAUGGACCCGCGUCUGAUUAGCUAGUUGGUGAGAUAACAGCCCACCAAGGCGACGAUCAGUGGCCGACCUGGAAGGGUGACCGGCCACAUUGGAACUGAGACCCGGCCCAAACUCCUACGGGAGGCAGCGGUGGGGAAUAUUGCACAAUGGAGGAAACUCUGAUGCAGCGACGCCGCGUGAGUGAAGAAGUAAUUCGUUAUGUAAAGCUCUAUCAGCAGGGAAGAUAGUGACGGUACCUAACUAAGAAGCUCCGGCUAAAUACGUG
rnacentral:rRNA from 1 species